rnacentral:rRNA from 1 species
ACAUGCAAGUCAAGGGCUCUUCGGAGCACUGGCGGACGGGUGAGUAACGCGUAGGUAAUCUGCCCCUUUCACUGACAAAACGUUGAGAAAUCGGCGCUAAUACCAGAUAUGCACUUCGGUGUGAAAGACUUCGGUUGGGAAGGGAUGAGCCUGCGUCUGAUUAGCUAGUUGGCGGAGUAAAAGCCCACCAAGGCGACGAUCAGUAGCUGGUCUGAGAGGAUGGUCAGCCACACUGGAACUGAGACACGGUCCAGACUCC